AAGCAUAUGAAAAUGUUGGCUGAAUUAUUUAUGCCAGUACAAUUAAUAGUAUAACAUUUACUUUACUGUUCCUAAAAUUUAGGCAAUGAAUGGCUUCAUAGGCUUGCUUUUGUGGAGUGUAACUUAUAGACUGUUUUUCUUGUUCUUCAAAGAUCAGUUUCAUCUGUGGCAUUAACUGAAUUUGCAUGUCAGCAUAUUUAUGGUUACGUUUAGUUGUAUUAAAUUGUAAUGUAGUGUAUUUAAAUUGUUGCAAUACUGCAUAAUUGAUUUGCAGAAAUGCAUAAUACUUGAUAAUCUGUAUUGCAGUGCCCAGUAGUAUGGAAAGUGUGGUUCUCACAAAGGCACCUGUCAGAAAUCAACCAAUCUAGAAUGGAGUGAUUGUUUUCUUCAGGUCUUCAUUGAUCCAAAACAUCUUGACUGCUUGUGACUGGCUGGAUGCCAACAAAA